rnacentral:rRNA from 1 species
AUUGAACGCUGGCGGAAUGCUUUACACAUGCAAGUCGAACGGCAGCACGGGGCAACCUGGUGGCGAGUGGCGAACGGGUGAGUAAUAUAUCGGAACGUGCCCAAUCGUGGGGGGAUAACGUAGCGAAAGUUACGCUAAUACCGCAUACGAUCUACGGAUGAAAGCGGGGGAUCGCAAGACCUCGCGCGAAUGGAGCGGCCGAUAUCAGAUUAGGUAGUUGGUGGGGUAAAGGCUCACCAAGCCAACGAUCUGUAGCUGGUCUGAGAGGACGACCAGCCACACUGGAACUGAGACACGGUCCAGACUCCUACGGGAGGCAGCAGUGGGGAAUUUUGGACAAUGGGCGCAAGCCUGAUCCAGCCAUUCCGCGUGCAGGAUGAAGGCC